rnacentral:lncRNA from 1 species
UGCAGUAUUUGGUUUUCUGUUCCUGCGUUAGUUUGCUAAGGAUAAUGGCCAUUAUCUUAGCCAUUUGAAAAUAAUGAUUUAACCUCUCUCACCUUCAUUGUCAUUUUAGAAGAAACUACCAUUUGGUGUCCUGCUGAGACAAGAAAAUAUUUUCACAACUCAAGACAAGUUAAAUAUCCACUUAUGGGAACAGUGCUGAAGGCCUGGACUAGGAUGGUAGCAAUGGAGACAGACUAAAGAAAGAGAUGCAAUCAUUCCCUUGCAUAUGGUCCGUAUGAAGACGGGAUCAUUACAGGAAAGGUGAAGGAGAUACAGUCAUUAUGCUCUAUAUACACCCAUUUUUAUGGCUAGCGGCUGAAGAUGGGAUGCUUUCUUUGCUGGAAGACCUAUUACCUGUUAGGUUGCAAAAGAUGUGAUCAUCUUCCUAAACAAUAAUUUAGAGUCCCAUAACAAUUUUAAGUGUGCUGUUCAUGAAAAUUUGAAUACAUUGUAUUGGGAAUAUAAUGGAAGUGAGAUGCCUCAUGUCGUGAGAAAAUCUGACAUAAACUCCUUAAGCAUGAGAGGCCAUGUGGGUAUGGAAGCCCUGAAAGGGAGGAAAAAACAGCCAGACCCUAGCUGUUCCAGUCAUCCCAACUGAGGUGCCAGACUUGUGAUUGAGGCCAUCUUGCAUCAUCUAGGCCUAGUAGAGCUGCCAACUGACUGCAGACACAUGAGUCAAUCCAGCUAAUGCCACAUGGAGCAGAGACAAGCCGCCCAGCUGAGCCCAGUCCAGAUGACAGAAUCAUGAGCAAAUAAGAACAGAGAGAUCCAUAGUGGAUUACAAUAAGUG